rnacentral:rRNA from 1 species
GAGGAAUAUUGGACAAUGGGCGCAAGCCUGAUCCAGCCAUGCCGCGUGCAGGAAGACGGUCCUAUGGAUUGUAAACUGCUUUUGUACAGGAAGAAACACUCCCUCGUGAGGGAGCUUGACGGUACUGUAAGAAUAAGGAUCGGCUAACUCCGUGCCAGCAGCCGCGGUAAUACGGAGGAUCCAAGCGUUAUCCGGAAUCAUUGGGUUUAAAGGGUCCGUAGGCGGUUUAAUAAGUCAGUGGUGAAAGCCCAUCGCUCAACGAUGGAACGGCCAUUGAUACUGUUAGACUUGAAUUAUUAGGAAGUAACUAGAAUAUGUAGUGUAGCGGUGAAAUGCUUAGAUAUUACAUGGAAUACCAAUUGCGAAGGCAGGUUACUACUAAUGGAUUGACGCUGAUGGACGAAAGCGUGGGGAGCGAACAGGAUUAGAUACCCUGGUAGUCCACGCCGUAAACGAUGGAUACUAGCUGUUGGGCGCAAGUUCAGUGGCUAAGCGAAAGUGAUAAGUAUCCCACCUGGGGAGUACGUUCGCAAGAAUG